rnacentral:rRNA from 1 species
AGAGGUAAACGCAAACCUGCUUGGAUAGCAUGGGAUUUGAUGACAAGACCAAAGAGUUUGGGAGGCCUUGGAUUUCGGGACAUAGAGAUUUUUAAUCUGGCCUUAUUGUCAAGACAAGUCUGGAGAAUCAUGAAUGAGCCAUCAGCAUUAAGUGUCAGAAUUCUUAAAGCUGUAUACUUUCCCAACUGCUCUAUUCUGGAAGCAGACACUACUAGGAAAAGGGCUACUAAUGGCGCACCAGUUUUGCCUACUAAUGGCGCAUCACUGGUGCGCCAUUAG